CUCCCUUCUGUGAAGGGGA
rnacentral:misc_RNA from 1 species